GACGAACGCUGGCGGCGUGCCUAAUACAUGCAAGUAGAACGCUGAAGGAGGAGCUUGCUUCUCCGGAUGAGUUGCGAACGGGUGAGUAACGCGUAGGUAACCUGCCUGGUAGCGGGGGAUAACUAUUGGAAACGAUAGCUAAUACCGCAUAAGAGUAGAUGUUGCAUGACAUUUGCUUAAAAGGUGCAAUUGCAUCACUACCAGAUGGACCUGCGUUGUAUUAGCUAGUUGGUGGGGUAACGGCUCACCAAGGCGACGAUACAUAGCCGACCUGAGAGGGUGAUCGGCCACACUGGGACUGAGACACGGCCCAGACUCCUACGGGAGGCAGCAGUAGGGAAUCUUCGGCAAUGGACGGAAGUCUGACCGAGCAACGCCGCGUGAGUGAAGAAGGUUUUCGGAUCGUAAAGCUCUGUUGUAAGAGAAGAACGAGUGUGAGAGUGGAAAGUUCACACUGUGACGGUAUCUUACCAGAAAGGGACGGCUAACUACGUGUCAGCAGCCGCGGUAAUACGUAGGUCCCGAGCGUUGUCCGGAUUUAUUGGGCGUAAAGCGAGCGCAGGCGGUUAGAUAAGUCUGAAGUUAAAGGCUGUGGCUUAACCAUAGUACGCUUUGGAAACUGUUUAACUUGAGUGCAAGAGGGGAGAGUGGAAUUCCAUGUGUAGCGGUGAAAUGCGUAGAUAUAUGGAGGAACACCGGUGGCGAAAGCGGCUCUCUGGCUUGUAACUGACGCUGAGGCUCGAAAGCGUGGGGGAGCAAACAGG
rnacentral:rRNA from 1 species